AAACAACAACACCUAAAAUGUGGAAUAUAGCAUAUAGUCGACAAGAGAAAUCUACGAAAAACAAACAAAACUUUCAACAACGGAUCUCUUGGUUCUCGCAUCGAUGAAGAGCGCAGCGAAAUGCGAUACCUAGUGUGAAUUGCAGCCAUCGUGAAUCAUCGAGUUCUUGAACGCACAUUGCGCCCCUCGGCAUUCCGGGGGGCAUGCCUGUUUGAGCGUCGUUUCCAUCUUGCGCGUGCGCAGAGUUGGGGGAGCGGAGCGGACGACGUGUAAAGAGCGUCGGAGCUGCGACUCGCCUGAAAGGGAGCGAAGCUGGCCGAGCGAACUAGACUUUUUUUCAGGGACGCUUGGCGGCCGAGAGCGAGUGUUGCGAGACAACAAUAAGCUCGACCUCAAAUCAGGUAGGAAUACCCGCUGAACUUAAGCAUAUCAAUAAGCGGAGGAAAAGGAUCAUUACUGUGAUUUAGUA
rnacentral:rRNA from 1 species